ensembl:lncRNA
UGUGGCUUCAGUUAAAACUUAAAACUUAAAGUGGAAUAAAUGCAGUAAGAGGUAUUUAUCACAAACUGUAUAUAAAAAGACUUCUUCUACAUUUAAAAAGUGAAGCUGAUGCGCAAUUGCCUUAAAUAUGCAUUCUUUCUAAUGACCAGAAGAGGGCAGUCCAUAUGAUUACAAGUUGUUUAUUUUUGGUUGUUUGUUUUUUAAUGCUGAUGCAUUUGUAGGAUUCAUGAAUAUUAUUAUUUUUUUGGGACUCACUCAACAAAAAAUGUCUUAAAACUAAAUUAAAUAAAGGCCACACACUAGUAGGUUGUUAAGAGCUGCCAUUUCCAUACCUUGAUCUAAUCAAUGUUGUUAGCUAACAUGGCUUAAAUAAAGACAGUACUUUAACAUAUGAUUUACUGAUUAAACUGUCUAUUGUGGUGAUGUCAAAAUAGACUGUAUAAAAAGAUAGACACAUCCAGCAUGACAUGAACACAAGUCCCAUUGAAGUUAAGACAUAAGUUGCCAGCAAAGCAUAACCUGUUUAAUUGACUGUUGUAGGAAUUUGUUGAUAAAACAAUUUUUUAUUUUUUAUUUUUUUACUCCGGUAAAGGCCUUAAUUUUUAAAAGGCACAUCAUAACAUACUCAGUUUAAUUUUAACCUAAUAAGCUAUUAAGCUCAUAAAGUCAUUAGGAAAAACAGCUGUGUGUCACGGCACUGAGUCUGCCACCGAGUGCUUUGUGUUUGUGUUUAAUUUAUAACCCUUGAUUAUUGUUAUUCCUGGUUUUGAGUUCUCUUGAUGGUUUUUUGUUCAUGUUAAAAAAAAUUUCCUGCUUCCAGUUUCAGUUUUCUGUACCUUCUCCGUGUUUCACGUCUGGUUAUUUUUUGUCUCUGUGCUUCAUGUUUCCUUUUUUUCCAGGUCUGUCAUGUUUCUAUAUCUUACUGUCUAGUUUGCGUCUUUGUGAAUUGUCUCAUUUUUCCUGUUCUACAGUCUGUGUCCUGUGUCUAUGUUUUCAGUUUUGCUUCCCCUUGGUCUCAUUAUGUUUGAUUGGGCACAGCUGUGUUCCCUCCUGUUUCCCAUUCCCUCGUUACUGCCUCUUGUAUUAAAGCCCUGUGUUUUCCUUGCUCUGUGUAUACCCGCUCUGUGCUGUGUGUUCCUGGUGAAAUUCUAGCAAGUCCAGUUUAGUUUCUAGUUCAUGUUUGAGGUUUUUGGUUUAUUUUAUAAAGUUAAUUUCUUAUGACAAGUUUCUCCAGCAAAUAAAGUUGUGUUUAGAGUUUAAGUCCCAUCUCUGAGAGUCCUGCAUUUAGGUCCAAUCCUGCCUGACACACAACACAUAUGAUGACACUAUAGGGCAUUAUCUCAGAGUUCCAUGUAGAAUAAAUAAAAUUUACAGAUCUGAUUUUUGUUGUUGCUCUUUUUUUUGUUUGUUUGUUUUUAUAGUGUGACACAAAAUUAGAUCAUGGCAGAUGGUCAGAGAAGUUGUCCCUUUGAAAAGAAUGCAAGUUCAGUGUGCUUCCAGAUUGAAUUCACUUUUUAGACCCUGAAGCUACGUCCCUAUUUUCUGCUCUCCAUGUGUCUCCCCCUGCUGGUGAUUAUAAACAAUGCAUGUUUAAGGCACUUUUGCAUUGACUUCAAACUACAUCCAUCAUAUACCUUCUAUGCAACACAGACACACAUACUUGCAAAUUAUUGCUAACUGAUUACAAAAUUGGUAGAAUUAAACUCAUUAAAACCAGCUUCUUGAAUUUUAUUUAUCUCGCAACAAAUGGUAGCAUUUGUCAGAUAAGACAAUUAAAUUUCAAAAGGUAAAUACAGCUGAGAUAGUUCAAACAUCAAGUGAAAAAUUAAUGGUAUUUACUGGUGUUUAUUAAGGCUGCUUAGUUUGUUUUAAAUAUGUGACCUUAAUUGCAUCCAUCUGAGCAGAUUUUGAAA